GCUGGCGUAGCUCAGUUGGCAGAGCAGCCGCCUUGUAAGCGGCAGGCCGUGGGUUCGAUCCCCACCGCCAGCU
rnacentral:tRNA from 1 species